CCAAACCGACCUUUUCUCCACUCCAGCGGUCAGUUCACCGGGACCUUUUCCUAAGGAUGUAGGCCAAGGUGGCUCAUGGGAAUAUAUGAUGUAGUGUUAUAUUUUGAAUCUCUCUUCUGCCUUCCAAUUUCUAUCUUUUUUUCCCCCUCCAUCCAAGCCUGUGCCUGAUGUUGCCCGAAGGAUGCGGAAGAAAAAGACUUCAGGACUGGAAGCGCUCUUACCCCAAGAUCGGUCACCUUUCCCCUUUCCCAAUUCCCCGCACCAGUUCACACCAGCAACUGAGAUUUAGGCCUGUUUUCCCGAAGGGCCUCGGCCAGUCCCUGCACUUAGUAGGCAUGCAAUAAACCUUGAAAGCCCAAAUGAAUGAUGCUGCUUCCCUAUGCACAUGGUGCUUAGGGGUGAGAUUUCUCACAUAGGUCAGUGUGAUGAAGCUUGACGGCAACAGUUGUUCACUUUGAAUCAAAGAAUAACUGUUAAUUGGUGUGCUGUCAUCAACCAGAAGUUUCCAAAUAUGUGUCCUCCAAUUCAAAGAGAAGUAGCUGGAUGCAAGCAAAAAUACUCAUGGGGACUCUCUGCACAUGAUGCAUCUCCAGAGAAAGUUGCUUCAUUCUUUUUUGUUUUUGGAACACUUCUUACAGUAUACUCCAACUACUGGAUAGCAUCCUAAGUUCAUCCAGAUUUGUCCCAAGUCUGAAUUCUUGGUCUUCCUCCCACCCUCUAAUUCCACAGAUAAAGAAGAAAUAAUAAUAAAGGAAUAAAAAUCGUU